UCCUGUACACCUCGUACAGUCGGUCCU
rnacentral:sRNA from 1 species